rnacentral:sRNA from 1 species
ACGCAGUUUAAAAUAUAUAUUAAUUUCAUCAUAAUCAUCUUUUAAAAAGAGUAAUCAAAAAGAGGAUUAUGAUAUAAU